AACGAACGCUGGCGGCAGGCCUAACACAUGCAAGUCGAGCGCGCCUUCGGGUGAGCGGCGGACGGGUGGGUACCGCGUGGGGAUAUGCCCUUCUCUACGGAAUAGUCCUGGGAAACUGGGGGUAAUACCGUAUACGCCCUUUGGGGGGAAGAGUUAUCGGGGAAGGAUUAGCCCGCGUUGGAUUAGGUAGUUGGUGGGGUAAUGGCCUACCAAGCCGACGAUCCAUAGCUGGUUUGAGAGCAUGAUCAGCCACACUGGGACUGAGACACGGCCCAGACUCCUACGAGAGGCAGCAGAGGGGAAUCUUAGACAAUGGGGGCAACCCUGAUCUAGCCAUGCCGCGUGAGUGAUGAAGGCCUUAGGGUUGUAAAGCUCUUUCAGCUGGGAAGAUAAGGACGGUACCAGCAGAAGAAGCCCCGGCUAACUCCGU
rnacentral:rRNA from 1 species